rnacentral:rRNA from 1 species
UACGUAGGGGGCAAGCGUUGUCCGGAUUUAUUGGGCGUAAAGCGCGUGUAGGCGGCCCGGCAGGUCCGUUGUGAAAACUCGAGGCUCAACCUCGAGAUGUCGAUGGAAACCGUCGGGCUAGAGUCCGGAAGAGGAGAGUGGAAUUCCCGGUGUAGCGGUGAAAUGCGCAGAUAUCGGGAAGAACACCCGUGGCGAAGGCGGCUCUCUGGGACGGUACUGACGCUGAGACGCGAAAGCGUGGGGAGCGAACAGGAUUAGAAACCCCCGUAGUCC